ACCUGAAUACACCUGGGAGAGUGUCCCUUAUAAGCUCAUCAAGCAUACACGUGAGAGACUGGACGUAUGUAUCGUCAGAGGAGCGAAAAUCGUUCCAGCGUGGGCCCCUACCACCCCAAGAUGCACAUCUACACCUCAGCACCCUGUGGAUUGCAGCCCUGGUGGAUGGAGCAAGCACAGUACUCCAAGGCACCAUGUAGAGGAUUGCUA